rnacentral:rRNA from 1 species
GACGUAGGGGCGCGAGCGUUGUCCGGAUUUAUUGGGCGUAAAGAGCUCGUAGGCGGCUCGUUGCGUCGGCUGUGAAAACCCGCAGCUCAACUGUGGGCUUGCAGCUGAUACGGGCGGGCUGGAGUUCGGUAGGGGAGACUGGAAUUCCUGGUGUAGCGGUGAAAUGCGUAGAUAUCGGAAGGAACAUCAGUGGCGAAAGCGACUUCCUGGACCAAUACUGACGCUCAUGUGCGAAAGCGUGGGGAGCAACAGG